ACAGUGGAUCAUGAGGUCAUAGGUGGGUUGCAGCCGGUGGCACGGCAGAAGCCCAGAAACAAGGAAUAGUGACGGUCUGCGGGAGCAGGUGCCAGUUCUGUAUCGGCCACACACACAGAACAAGACGACAAGCACGAAGGAAAAGAAAAAAUAUGAAGCAGGAGAAAUCGGGAUAGCCAUUAACUCCAGUGCAGUUCAAAAGAUGGCAUGAGUUCCACAAACACUGAGAACACAUUGAAGAAGCUUGCCCGGCUGAGUAACAAGCAGGUGGUUCAGCCGCUGAAGUCCCCCACCACGCAGAACAGAUCCCUGGAGGGAGAAAGGCAGAGGAAUUGCUUAUGAUCACCUUCUGUCGCUCAACGGUCAAAGGAUGCCCCAUGGGAUGUCAACUGCAUGGCUGGGCUGAUUCAAAGAGCCAACUUCUACUCCUGUAUCACAAGACCUUGUCGGACUUGAGAGGAGGUAGGAGCGCCCUCACUCCCGGCGUGUGGGACCUGGGUCGGCCCUCGCUCCCGGGGGGCUGAGCAUGGAGAGGCGCAGCAAAGGGAAAGCCAGCCAGGCUGUCUGCUUGAGGACGACCAAGGCCUGGGCCAGAGGCAGGAACAAGAACCUGGAGAGGACCACAUCCAGGUCCUUAAAGCUGAUAAAAUGUUAUGAACGUCAUAAACCAUUUUAAACCAAAUGGUCAGACAUACUCUUCCGUUAGGCAAGACAAUUGCUUUCAACAUCUUUCUGCACCUGCUUCCAUCCAGAACCAUAACAGCAGGGGAGAAUCACAGAAGGGACAUGGGGGAGGGGGAGUCAGCAGAGUAUAUGGUGCAUCAUCAUACGGAGGGGGCCCUACACAGAGCACCUCGCUUUGUCCCCGAGGCCACCGUAAGCGAGCAUCGCUAUUGACACCUACACAUGCAGAAACCAGCAUCCACGAGGAUCAGAGUUACAACUAAGCUAAAUUGUAAGUUGGAAGUUAAGCCCCUUGGUGGCCCCGAGUCUCUGUGCCACCAGGUUGAACCAAGUGAUCCUCGGUCAGGAGCAUCAACCCUCCUUCCCGGACUAUUCUGUCUUAUAGCACAAACAUGUUGACAUGGUGAAUAGCGUAGCUCCUCAGUCUCCUGAGAGUGAAAAUCGGCUCGGCUGACAGGAAGGAAUCAGGACACAGCCCUGUAUGGGUCAGGCUUGGAGGACAGACCCAGACGCACCCGCUGUCCAUCUGCAGGAGGUGGUGCAGGGCCGUGACCUGCCGUGUCCAGCCCGCUUCUGAGUGACAGGGCCUCCUUCCAGUGCCCCCCACAGCCCUCAGCUCUCUCCACCUAGAGCUGGGACGCUGGGCUCCUCAAGUGUCCUUGCCAAAUGCCGGGUUAACCUUUUACUAAUCCCAUCCCAGGAAGAGACAUCGGUCCAAAUGGGUCCUGCCUCCUGCCCCGUGUCCCGACUUAGAAGGGGCCCUCCCGCCCUGCUGUUGGAGACACCAGGCUCCUUCAGGUCAGGACGGGACUACAGAUGCAUUGUGAACUGUCACAGGGGUGAGCGUAAUAGGUUUUAUGCUUAAAACAGAUUCCCACCGUGCCGAAGACAGACCCCGAACCAGCACACGUAGCUGGAAGUAUUUGCCAGGUUGUUUACCUCGGUACAGGUGAUUCUACCAUUUUAAAUCAACGUUCUCCUGCUCAUCCCGCACAGCCCCUUCCCCGGAGGAAGCAAAUCCCCGUGUUACUUCCCGCAAUGAGGGCUACAUCUGAAACGGCUGCACCUGUUGGCCCAGCACAGUCUCUGACGUUGGGGAAAAUGCAUUGCAGAGGACGCUGUUCACUGACAGUGAGGCCGUUCUCUCAUCAUCUUGGAGCCACAUGACGACAGCGCACAGGGCCAAGCGGACGCUUGCACAAAGAGCGCAGGGCACCUCACAAGCUCCUCGAGUCCCAGGUGCACAGAGGAGUCCGAGCAGCUCACACUUGGAAGAGAUCUGAGAUCGUUCGGCCCCAACACACCCAUCGUACCUGUGCCAUCACAGACCUUGGAAAGGUCAGCCCUUGACCCCGGAACGCCAGGAGCCACGACUGAACACAUCACAACCGACUUCUGGUCAAGGGUCCUUCUAUUAACAUACCUGACACCUCACAUUUAUGAUUCUCUGAGUAAAUUUCAGAAUUUCAUUAAAGAGGGGGGCACCUGGGAGGCUCAGUCAGUUAAGUGUCUGACUUCAGUUCAGGUCACGAUCUCACGGUUCAUGGGUUCAAGCCCCGCGUCGGGCUCUGUGCUGACAGCUCAGAGCCUGGAGCCUGCUUCGGAUUCUGCGUCUCCCUCUCUCUCUGCCCCUCUCCUGCUCAUGAGCGCUCUCUCUCUCUC